rnacentral:rRNA from 1 species
UGCAAGUCGAGCGGUAGAGAGGUGCUUGCACCUCUUGAGAGCGGCGGACGGGUGAGUAAAGCCUAGGAAUCUGCCUGGUAGUGGGGGAUAACGCUCGGAAACGGACGCUAAUACCGCAUACGUCCUACGGGAGAAAGCAGGGGACCUUCGGGCCUUGCGCUAUCAGAUGAGCCUAGGUCGGAUUAGCUAGUUGGUGAGGUAAUGGCUCACCAAGGCGACGAUCCGUAACUGGUCUGAGAGGAUGAUCAGUCACACUGGAACUGAGACACGGUCCAGACUCCUACGGGAGGCAGCAGUGGGGAAUAUUGGACAAUGGGCGAAAGCCUGAUCCAGCCAUGCCGCGUGUGUGAAGAAGGUCUUCGGAUUGUAAAGCACUUUAAGUUGGGAGGAAGGGCAUUAACCUAAUACGUUAGUGUUUUGACGUUACCGACAGAAUAAGCACCGGCUAACUCUGUGCCAGCAGCCGCGGUAAUACAGAGGGUGCAAGCGUUAAUCGGAAUUACUGGGCGUAAAGCGCGCGUAGGUGGUUCGUUAAGUUGGAUGUGAAAUCCCCGGGCUCAACCUGGGAACUGCAUUCAAAACUGUCGAGCUAGAGUAUGGUAGAGGGUGGUGGAAUUUCCUGUGUAGCGGUGAAAUGCGUAGAUAUAGGAAGGAACACCAGUGGCGAAGGCGACCACCUGGACUGAUACUGACACUGAGGUGCGAAAGCGUGGGGAGCAAACAGGAUUAGAUACCCUGGUAGUCCACGCCGUAAACGAUGUCAACUAGCCGUUGGGAGCCUUGAGCUCUUAGUGGCGCAGCUAACGCAUUAAGUUGACCGCCUGGGGAGUACGGCCGCAAGGUUAAAACUCAAAUGAAUUGACGGGGGCCCGCACAAGCGGUGGAGCAUGUGGUUUAAUUCGAAGCAACGCGAAGAACCUUACCAGGCCUUGACAUCCAAUGAACUUUCCAGAGAUGGAUUGGUGCCUUCGGGAACAUUGAGACAGGUGCUGCAUGGCCUGUCGUCAGCUCGUGUCGUGAGAUGUUGGGUUAAGUCCCGUAACGAGCGCAACCCUUGUCCUUAGUUACCAGCACGUCAUGGUGGGCACUCUAAGGAGACUGCCGGUGACAAACCGGAGGAAGGUGGGGAUGACGUCAAGUUCAUCAUGGCCCUUACGGCCUGGGCUUCACGUGCUACAAUCGAUCGGUACAUAGGGUUGCCAAGCCGCUAGGUGGACUUAUCC